rnacentral:rRNA from 1 species
GAUGAACGCUGGCGGCGUGCCUAAUACAUGCAAGUCGAGCGAACAGACGAGGAGCUUGCUCCUCUGACGUUAGCGGCGGACGGGUGAGUAACACGUGGAUAACCUACCUAUAAGACUGGGAUAACUUCGGGAAACCGGAGCUAAUACCGGAUAAUAUAUUGAACCGCAUGGUUCAAUAGUGAAAGACGGUUUUGCUGUCACUUAUAGAUGGAUCCGCGCCGCAUUAGCUAGUUGGUAAGGUAACGGCUUACCAAGGCAACGAUGCGUAGCCGACCUGAGAGGGUGAUCGGACACACUGGAACUGAGAAACGGUACAGACUCCUACGGGAGGCAGCAGUAGGGAAUCUUCCGCAAUGGGCGAAAGCCUGACGGAGCAAAGCCGCGUGAGUGAUGAAGGUCUUCGGAUCGUAAAACUCUGUUAUUAGGGAAGAACAAAUGUGUAAGUAACUAUGCACGUCUUGACGGUACCUAAUCAGAAAGCCACGGCUAACUACGUG